rnacentral:rRNA from 1 species
AUUGAACGCUGGCGGCAGGCCUAACACAUGCAAGUCGAACGAGUGGCGGACGGGUGAGUAAUGUCUGGGAAACUGCCUGAUGGAGGGGGAUAACUACUGGAAACGGUAGCUAAUACCGCAUACCAUCGGAUGUGCCCAGAAGGGCUUAGCUAGUAGGGGGGGUAAAGGCUCACCUAGGCGACGAGCCCUAGCUGGUCUGAGAGGAUGACCAGUCCAACUGGAACUGAGACACGGUCCAGACUCCUACGGGAGGCAGCAGUGGGGAAUAUUGCACAAUGUGCGCAAGCCUGAUGCAGCCAUGCCGCGGUUAUGAAGAAGGCCUUCGGGUUGUAAAGUACUUUCAGCGGGGAGGCGUUACCCGCAGAAUAAGCACCGGCUAACGCCGUGCCAGCAGCCGCGGUAAUAC